CCCCCCCCCAACUUUCCAUUCAUCACAACAUGAUGCAGGUAUGAAUUUAGAUAAAAACAGCCUGGGCCCUUUGUGCCGGGAUCCCGCGGGAGGUGACUCGCGCUCGUCAUCGCGGGACGUCUGCAGCUCAGGCUGUAUUUCUCAUUCGAUCUGUUUCCUCUCCUCCAGAGAUGCAGAGAGAGGCACUUUGAUGUCCCUCAAAUCUCAUUAUGAGCUGGGGCUCUGGCUUGGCAGCGGGCAGGGCACAACUGAAGGGUUGUGAAAAUGGACGUGGCCCGGUCGCCAGGGGGGAACUCUUUGAGAGGCACAGCGCUCCAUCGAGGAGGCGCGCCUUGUUUAGUGCCGAUAGCCCAACUCGGCGUGAGAGGGAGACGCAGAAGUUAUCUACAAUCAGUCACACGACGAGUCGGAUGCGCACACUGAAGCGUUUCACACUGACAUCCUUUCCCCGGAGUUGGUGAAGACAAAGACAGUAAAUACGUCCCAAUGAAUACAGUGGCAUCAUUGCUCCAUCGGUGCUGGAUGUGUGAAUAUGGUAACGAGUACACCAUAACCAAACAAAGGUUAUUAGUCAGUGUUUUUCCCCAUUGUCUUCUUGUGGUUGGCUUCCAGCGUCACAACCCGCCCAUAUUUAACCAUAUUUUCACGGCUUGUUUACUUUUUAAUUACACCCAUCACUCAUGAGGCCCGUUAAUUCCUUAAUCAAUUCCAAAUAUUUCCACAACACAAUGCUGCUGCAAUAUAUUUAAUCUGGAAUAUGAUGCUUUGGUUUGGUUUUGGUUUUCAAUGUGCUGUGAUUCUUCUCUUAUACUGGAACAAAGAAAUGGCCUAAAAAUAGUCACGUCAGCCCUACAUUUAGCAAUCUAACAAAACUGCUUCUCAUUUGCAGAUUACUUUUGCAUCGUUGUUUGUGUUUUUUCGCUGCCAUGUAGUUGACCUCUGCAUCAAACCGGCCUUCAGGCUUUUAGGAACAAACCAAACCUCGGGGAGCCCGAACCAGCGGCCAUGUGACUGAAGGACGAGUUGCUCUCAUGGGUCUUUUUUUCCUGUGUUUGUGUCAUCAGCGUGAUCAGGAAGGAGGAAAAGAUCAUUUGUUAUUGUGGAUGAAUCAUCUGAAGGGGGGCAGUAAAAUCCGGUGCUGGGUGUUUGGGAUGCGAGAGGCAGUCCAGUCCCACUGCCGCUGGUACUGAACCUCAUUAACUAAAAAACAAAUCAAAAGAAUCCAAUAAAUUGGCCCCUAAAGAAAAAACACUAUGCAGUCAAUGGAUUAAACAGAAAAAUAGAAAAAAAGAACUAAUUAAUUGUACAUUUUGAAAUUCAUUAGUCACAAUUAAACGUUUGUUUUUUGUCUAAAUCUUAGAAAUUAACUAGUAAUAACUUUAGAAAGUGUGUGUUUUAUACACACAAAACUACAUAUUUGAACAUCUUCCUGCCGUCCUCGUGCACUUUUCUGUGCUCUAAACAGUCUUUUAGUUUAGAGCUGUGUUAAAAUAUUGCAUAUCACAUUAAUCUCGGCCACAAUAUUCACAUAGAUUAACGCUUUAAUUACACAGCCCUAAAAAUAACCAUUGGAACAUGAUGUUUUCCAGUCCUUUCCUCAGCGGCUUUUUAGAUUUUGAGGGUUAUAUUGGGAACAUUAAGAAGCAUUCAGGAGCCACUUUGUGAUGGAGUAUGGCCCCCAGAGGCCUGAGGUGUGAACCCAGAGAGGAAUCGUUAUCGUAAAAAGUCUCGACCGGCUCCAAAUGAAAUCAAUAAAUAACCACUUAAAUAAGCUCAGAAAAUAGCUCUAAAAUGAUGUAUAAAUACACCUAACAAGCACUAUUACGGACACUUAAUACUACGAGUAUCAUUACAUUCAAUUUUCCUUCAUUGGCCCAUUGUUCACAGCAAUCAGCUUCCUCCUGACAGCAGCAGUAAUUGCGCUGCGUGAGCUAAAUGGAGGCAGUUGCCUCUUGAUUACAAGUCUCCCUGUAGAGUCUUUAUCAUCCCAUAUCUGUUAAGCACUAUUAUCUUCUCCUCAUCGAACGUGUCUCUCCUGAAUGAACUGCACAUCACAGGUAGAGGCCAGUCCACCGUGGACAGAACCAGAUCCGGCUUCAGAGCUCCGGAGGGAGAAGGGGAGGUCAGC
ensembl:lncRNA